AACUCUCUGUAACUUCUGCUCAAUUUUGCCAUGAACUAAAGCUGCUCUAAAAACAAACCAACUGGUCUGGAGUAAGACAGAAUUCCUCCUCUCCCUCUCCCUCUCCCUCUCCCUCCUCUCCCUCUCUCUCUCCCGUCUCCCCACGGUCUCCCUCUCCCUCUCUUUCCACGGUCUCCCUCUGAUGCCGAGCCGAAGCUGGACUGUGCUGCUGCCAUCUCGGCUCACUGCAACCUGCCUGCCUGAUUCUCCUGCCUCAGCCUGCCGAGUGCCUGCGAUUGCAGGCGCGCGCCACCACGCCUGACUGCCUCGGCCUCACGAGGUGCCGGG
rnacentral:lncRNA from 1 species